ACAAACUUGGUCAUUUAGAGGAAGUAAAAGUCGUAACAAGGUUUCCGUAGGUGAACCUGCGGAAGGAUCAUUACAAAUCAUGGCGAACCUCGCGUUUCGUGAGGUCUUGCGUCCAUUUUCGUAUUUAAAACAUCCCACUCUAAAAAAAUAUUUAUCUAAUGAUAAAAAUAAAAAAGAUCACUUUCAACAACGGAUCUCUUGGCUCUCAGAGACAGACAAACUUGGUCAUUUAGAGGAAGUAAAAGUCGUAACAAGGUUUCCGUAGGUGAACCUGCGGAAGGAUCAUUACAAAUCAUGGCGAACCUCGCGUUUCGUGAGGUCUUGCGUCCAUUUUCGUAUUUAAAACAUCCCACUCUAAAAAAAUAUUUAUCUAAUGAUAAAAAUAAAAAAGAUCACUUUCAACAACGGAUCUCUUGGCUCUCGCAUCGAUGAAGAACGCAGC
rnacentral:misc_RNA from 1 species